CCGGUGAGUACUCCUCGCCUUCUUCGGCUUGCGGUACCCACUGGGAGGGGAGACAUGUUUACAUGUUCUCACCUCCCCCACCAUUUUUCAGGUAUCGCGGGCGAUGAGUAGUGGGACGAGACGUGAGGUACGUGUGUAGCGGUCGAUAGAGCUUCCGACCCAGGUUAUUUCGAUUUAGUUAUUAUCCUUGGUAUUUCUGUUGUUAUAUAGUUUAGUUGGUUUAUGUGGUUCAGUAUUUAUUUACAUUUGAAAAUGUGGAUUUCUGGAUUUUGUAAAAUAAAAGGAUUUCUACCUCUCGUGGUAGCGUUUUUAAAGAAUAAAGGUUCCUGUGUAGGGAACAGUUUUCAAAAGAUUUUUUAUGGAUUUAUGUUUAGACAUUGAAUGUAAAACUGUGAUGUGAAUGGUGAAUGUAUGAAUGUAUAGUUAUCUUUAUACUCAUCUAGUUGUGGUUGUAUCCUGGUUGUACUCUUGUACUUGUGCGACGCCGUGCAAAUACAGGGGAGACUCUGUCCGUGUGAACAGUGGAUCUCCUGUAUUUGUGGCGGAUCUGGCAUACUCUGGGGUCAGAUAUAUAUAUAUAUAAAAAAAAAAAUUCAGACGCUUUUCCGCUUCGUUUUAAACUGAAAAGGGACCCCGGGGCGUGACAGAUUAAAGUGGUAUCAGAGCGAGGUUACAACCACAACACCAUUCACAGGUUGUUUUGAAAAGUAAAAGAAACUGAACCAUUGCUUAGGUUGACCCUUAGGAAGACCUACGGUGUAUAGGCACGUGAGUGCGGGGUUUGGGCUUGUAUCCCGGUGUGCAUUCGAGUUGGGUAAAUUCAGAGUGCAUGGUGUUUUUGUAUGUGUUACGGUUCGCACAAGCUGGUGUCUAAGUUGGGAGUAGUGGCGGUGUACUUUUUCGGACAUCAAGUGGUGGGACGAUAUUCCCCAGGUGUUACCACUCCUGUCAGGUGAGGCCUUGAAGGGCCAAGUGAGAUUUUUUUCGGGCCUAGGCGAGUGUUAUAACUGCCGACGCCCAUGCCACUCUCUCUACUUAGGACACGAGUGCUACUGCGAGUGUCUCUACGGAGACGGUGCUUAGACCAGUUACGGUCGCGACUUCAGUAGGGCUACUAGGGUGUAGCCCAGGGUUUGGAUAGCGGUCGUUCAGCGACUGCAUUGUUAGUGUUGCUUCCACAGACCUUUGGGUAGGGUUGUGAUGCCUACCUAUCCUCCUUGAUUGCUAAUUGGAAUCAGCGGUUCGGGUCUUUUGACCUUUUUCUCGUUCUUCCUUCCUACUAGAGUCGGAUUGACACAAUUUUGGUGUCAAGUUUUCUUUGAGGCAUACAUCGUAUGCGGUUAUUCUAACACCUAAAUUGGUGUGUUGUGGGUUAAUUUGUGGUUGGUGAUAGGUUUCGUCUUGAUUCGAGGGACUCCAGGUUAUUGUCGGAAUUCUCAGAGCUUUGAUUAUAGCUCGGUUGUGGUGCGGAAAUCUGUUAGAGAAACCGUUUCCUAAAGCCUCAGUUAGUACGGUUCGCGGCUUAGUGUAGCUAGCAGCUUUCGGAUGUUGAAAGUUAUAGGACUCCCUGUGAGUCGGUUCAGGGUCGUUCCGAUUUCGAAUGUCGACUUGUAAAGUUGAUGUUUCGAUAGUAAUGGUUGUGAACUCGUGGUUCAGUGAUGAGGAAUCAAGUGGCUUGAUUCUUCAAAGUGUCACACUUCCAACUCGUUGUUGGUAGUGAAUCUUCGGAUAUUUCGCUUUUCUUUUGAUAAGUACAUUGGCUGCAGACAAUAUACUGUCGAAAGUUACGAUGAAAUACCUAUCUUGUCGUUUGGGACUUAUGGAUUGGGUCGAUGUAUUCUCUAGACUGUUUUGUGGGAAAAGCUAGAGUGAUGUCAUCUUUGACCACGUAGCGAGCCUUGGGUUAUUCCUUGGCAGGUUUUGCACAGUUGACUUAUCGUCACUGAUAAAGGGGUUUUGACUCUAGUUCGAGUCUGGGUGUUUGUAGCUCUUUAGUUGUGCUUCCCACAAUUAAAAAGUUUGUUUGGUUAGUAGUAUCGGUCUAUUGUCGAGUGGUUCAGAAUCACAAGUGUGGAGUGACUUGAGCAUGGUUGUUGGCUUUGAUUGUCACCGUAUGUGAUAGCGUAAAAGGUUUGCGACUUGGCUUAACGUGCAAACCUUGAAAUGGCUUGCUUGUCCGGUUAUUUGGUGACAGGUGCCCUUGGGUCUCAAUGAGACAAGUUAUCGGGUGUUGCUGGGAACAUCGAUCGCUAGGGUCCCUUGUAGGACGGCAGCGACAGGGUCUUGUGGAGACCAGUGCUGAGCAUCACCGAUGGUUAGUAUCGCAGUUGCGAUUAGCGACCUGUGCAUCAAGUGGUGGACUUGCAAGAGCAUUCGGUGGUCUGUUGGUACCGGAUUAAGUUUGAGGGGACAAAAUUGUCUAGCUCAAUUGGUAUUGUCAGUUGGAUCUUUUGGGCAGAUGUAAAGUGAGGUCUUGAACCUAGGGCUAUAGAUUGUGGCAGGUGACCUUUCGUUGAUGAGAUUUUGGCAGUUUGUGUGGUUACUGCUGGAGACUGUGGUCUCUAAGGUGAGAGUUUUGACUCAGGUCUUAGAACAACGUUUCAUUUUCACUCAUGGUGAGCAGGUUGACGCUGUUGGAUAGUCGGAGUUUUUCGUUUCAGUCUACGUAAAUAGACUCUAGAUUAAAAUAGUUGUCUCGUGACUUUUCUACGUGAACUUCCAAGGUAGAACGGACCUAAAUUUCUGAAUGUUGAUUAAUUAUCUCAGAAUUGGCAAAUUGGGAUCGAAUAAUCCUAGUCGUGGGACUGUCUUUGUCCGCAGGUUAUAGGAUAGUGUUAAUCCUGGUGAGUUUUGGUCCGUAGAUUUUGGGUUAGUACAUUUUCCCUCGAUUCGUCCAGGUGGAACCGCAGUCCUAUUUUUCCCCUUUCUACGGAAGUUGAUAUAUCCAAAUGUAAUUGACCAGUACUCAAGGGUGAUAUUGCAGAGGUGGAGUAAUAUCCGAAUUCAAUUUCGGUGGGUAUGUGGUCAAGUUUCGGGGACGAAACUUCUUUUAAGGGGGGGAUAAUGUAAGGACUGAGAUUUUUACAGUGCAACUAAACUGUCUGUUGAUGAUGUUUAUGUGUGUAAUUUAAUUACAUAAGCACUCGUCAAGUUUCAGGAGGAAAUGAGCUAAAAUGGAGAAGUUACGCGAUUAUUAGUUUUCACUUAAGUGAAUAGUAACUCCGGUUUUCCGGAGAAGCCACGGAGUAGGGUUGGCUUUCGGCGCGUAUCGGACUCCGUUCUUAGCGAUCCAAUAGCUCGUUUUGAACGGUUCAGCUAUUCUGGAACCAAUGGCAGUGACGGAUUUUAGAUCUGAUGCACGGUUUUCGCGAAAAUCUGAAAAUACAUGUUUCUUGUGUAAUUGUGCAUCAUUUUGGCCUUUUGGAGAGAGAUUGGAUUUCGUCAUGAACCGGAGAUCAAAUCGGAAGAAACGAAAUGCUAGAUUCGAUGCCCUCGUCGUGCUGAACGCGAUGGUGCAAUCCGUUCUGAAAUCCGAUGAACAGAUUGUCGGAUAUUGCAUGAAGUUCGCUAAGGGGUCGAGAGUGGAAAAUCGGGAAAUACGCAAAAGUCGUAAUAUUUUAUGUACCGAAUCGCAUGAGAUCAAACGUGGAGGUGCGUGCACGCGAUUUACUCGCGCUGUGAAGGACUGGGUUGGAAAUAACUAGUUCCGGAGGACUUUGGUGCAAAGUGGCAUAUGGUAUAUAAUAUGCCUUUAGGGUUUCUAUGCACGAAACCCUAGUUUCUGCCGACCUAGUCUCCCAGCUAUGCCCUAGGUAGCUUCAGCAGGUCUCAGCCUUAGCCAUGCGCAUGCCCCGGCCGCCGGCAAGCUGCUCCGGCCACCUGAAAACCACCCUUUCCACCUUCAUCUCCACUAUUCUUCAUCCUUCCUGGCCGUGGAUCACCCAGGGGUCAUCCACUCGCGUCGGGCCCUCUCCUUUGGCCGCGCCCGACCUCCGUCAGCCUCCCCCGCCGGUCGCCGCCGCCCGCGCGCGCCGGCAUUGCUAGUCUGGGCAGCCGCGGCCAGCCUGUGCAGGCUCAGGCCGAGCCCAGGCUGGCUCCCCUCUCGUGCACUGCCGCUGCCUAGAUCGAGCUGCGCCGCCCUUCCCUGGAGNAUAAAAGUUCCCGUGUAGGGAACAGUUUUCAAAGGGUUUUCUGUGAUUUUGUAUCUUAGUAUUUCAAAACCUGUUUCUGUGGUUGGAAAUAUUUUAACUGAUAGAUGUGGAUUUAUGUUUAAAUAUUGAAUGUAAAAAUGUGAAUCUUUGGUGAAUGGUGUAUGAAUAUAUAGCUGUGGUUAUUUGUAUAUUCAUCUGGUUGUGGUUGUAUCAUGUUUGAACUCUUGUACUUAUGCGACGCCGUGCAAAUACAGGGGAGACUCUGUCCGUGUGAACAGUGGAUCUCCUGUAUUUGUGGCGGAUCUGGCAUACCCUAGGGUCAGGUUUUCAAAAAAAAAAAAUUUCAGACGCUUUUCCGCUAUGCUUUAAACUAAAAAGGGACCCCGGGGCGUGACACCGAGACUCUCCACACAUGUCCAGCUGGUGAACCGGCUCUGAUACCAAAUGUAACGACCCAGCCAACUAGCAAUAAUAACUCGUUGGGCCUGGCCAACAACCCAAAAUGCUUAAACCCAGUUAUUAUUACUAGUGUCUAAGUCCCUUAUAAAUCCAAUGACAACCCCUUUCCCAUCCGAUGUGGGACUAUUGGGGUGUCAUAGACUCCCCCAGUUAAGGCCAUGACGUCCUCGUCAGUCCAAUCACACACACAGCCCAAGAUCACCAGGCGAUGUGAGACAGUGGCCGUAAUCGUACCGAGACUCUGCCGGGACCCACGGACUGUCCCGGAACUCUGCCUGGCGGGUUCCCUGGGCAAGCUCGGUCCGAGUCAGCGUAUUACGGCGAUCGGUUUGGGAAACCGAUUCUCGUGGGUUUAUUUGUGGAGUUAUGCCUUUAGGGUUUCUUAGUUGUGGGUUAGACACUAACCCAGUGGACUCUCCUUAGGUCCGGUUGACGUUCUUUUGCAGUUAGGAGACAAGCAUGACAGUUGUACAGGUGGGUACUUCGAUCCGACGUCGGUACAGUGGUGCACGUUCGGUAAUGGUUUCUUACCCUUGCCCUCUUACUAUUACCUAUGUUGAUAUCAUAUUGAGCCUUGCACCUGCUUUUAUAUCUGCAUUCCUCUACUCAGUUAGUUCCAUGUUGAUAUCAUGCUUAGAGUAGAGUUGACUUAUCUGUUCACUAUAUCUGUGAUUUGGUUGGGCGGUUCCCCUACAUUGAUAUCAUAUUGAGCCUUGCACCUGCUUUUAUAUCUGCAUUCCUCUACUCAGUUAGUUCCAUGUUGAUAUCAUGCUUAGUAGUAGAGUUGACUUAUCUGUUCACUAUAUCUGUGAUUUGGUUGGGCGGUUCCCUUAUUUUGAUAUCUAUGACUUGUUCGGUCGAGUUGCUACAGUUCUAUCUUGACAUACGUAGCCGACUAGUUGCUGAUGGCCUAUACGGUCGGUGUGCCCUGAGGGGCUGGAUUGUCGGCUAAUUGCCGAUGGAAGAUCUUUGAGCAUACUACAUUGAUCGCCACUCCAGGUACGCAUUUCACGAACACCAGCGGUCUGAUCCACUGCAAGAGGGUGUUCUUUUCCGGAAAAGUGGUUGGAUUGCCAACUCGUGAGCCCAGGGGUUUUAUUGCGAGGGUAUAUGCUUCUGACCCAGGAGCUUCAUUGCGAGGGUCAUGUACUAUGCUUCUGACCCAGGGGCUUCAUUGCGAGGGUCAGGUACAGGUUGAGCAGUGUGGCAUGGGCCUGAGGUCUUCGGACCAAUAGGGCGGCGAGAUUGGGUACUUUUGAGGUUAUUGUCAGUUGACGCAUGCAUACAGUAACUGUAGUGUUUAUUUUCAGUACAUCCUUAUCUGUUUAUUGUAGCUACUGUUUUAUUUACCUGCAUCUAUACUUGUCAGCUCCUUACAUAUCUCUUUCGUUUAUUAUUGUUGCUACUAUAUUUCCCCUGACCCGUGUUGUUGUAUAACUCUUCCUGAUCCGGUGAGUACUCUUCGCCUUCUUCGGCUUGCGGUACCCACUGGGAGGGGAGAUAUGUUUACAUGUUCUCACCUCCCCCACUAUUUUUUUUAGGUAUCGUGGGCGGUGAGGGUUGAGACGAGACGUGAGAUACGUAGCGGUCGAUAGAGCUUCCGACCCAGAUUAUUUCGAUUUAGUUAUUACCCAUAUUAUUUCUGUUGAUGUAUAGUUUAGUUGGUUUAUGUGGUUCAGUAUUUCAUUACGUUAAAAUAAAAGGAUUUCUGAAUUUUAUAAAAUAAAAGAUUUU
rnacentral:lncRNA from 1 species